UACUACAGCCAUGCCACCCUGAACAUGUCUGAUCUUGUCUGACCUUGGAAGCUAAGCAGGGUCAGGCCUGGUUAGUACUUGGAUAGGAGACCACCUAGGAAGACCAGGUGCUGUAGGCA
rnacentral:rRNA from 1 species